UUUAUUCUUAGUCUUAGAUAUUAUUUACUUUAUUCAUGAAAGGUCCAUUAAUUCCUAUGCUUUCUAAUGUGAUUUAAAAUGGAUGUUGAAUUUUAUUUCAAGUAUUUUCAAUUUCAAUCUCAAGGGGGAAGCUGGGUAGCUCAGUGGAUUGAGAGCCAGGCCUAGAGAUGGGAGGUCCUAGGUUCAAAUCUGACCUCAGACACUUCUCAGCUGUGACCCUGGGCAAGUCACUUAAUCCCCUCUUACCACUCUUCUGCUUUGGAACCAAUUCACAGUAUUGAUUCCACGAUGGAAGGUUUGCAAAGUGUGCUUUACAUGCUACCUCAUUUGAUCUUCUUAACAAUCCUAAGAGAGAUCACACACUCAGAAACCUGUGAAUCCAAAGGUGUGAAUCCUAGGAGGAGAGCUGCCACCUUCAGAGGAGGAGAGGGGUAACAAUUUUGGAAACUGUGAUUGGCCCCUGUGAAGAGGGGUGGGGACAGGAAACCACCACAAAAGCCACAAAAAUCCUUGGGCUGGUAGUCUGGUGAAGUUGAGCCUUGUGGAGAGUGUCUCCUGGAGAUAGUCUUUAAAGGGAACCUCAUUGAGGACUUCACCAUGGAUCCUGACUUCACCUUGGACUCAGACUCCUGGACUAUUUGGUUGGGUGAGUGAAAAGGCUGCCUCCCUUCCUAGUUUCCUAAGAGACUAGCUUCCAUCUUGGAGGAGGCCAUGUGAUUACUCACUAUCGGCCCUCCUGGCUGAGGACUAGUAUAGGUAUUUUCUUUAACCUCUUUCAUAUUUCUCUACUUUAUUGUUUCCCCUCUCUUUUGGUAAAUAAACUAUUUUUGGUAAAUAAAAUGAAUUCUCUG
rnacentral:lncRNA from 1 species